CUCCUUUCAAGCCCCACCGCCGAACUCAAUCCGAUCCUUGGAGCACUCCUGACUCGGCAACCUGCAAGAGUGCAAGUCAGCAACCCGUCUCCGGUCUCCGAGCUCCGCCUCCAGGUAAAUACUAGUCAUGUCUGUGGCCAUUGUUCCACUUGCAGCUCAAAAGGGUUGGACCAGUUCUUUCUUGGGUGUUGUUCAGGGUAUGAAUGUUGGAAGUUUUGGAAACCACAUAGCAAACUGCUAAACUCCCCUAAUUGAUCAGAAUGUCCGAAACUUAAGGGCAUAAAUGUUUCUCUGAUGGGUUCGAUUUCGGAUUUCCAGUUGAUCUUGGUGGUAUAAUUGCAAACAGUCAAAAACUCAAAAUGAUAUAAUUGAUGGGAAUGAGCUUAUGAGCUUACUGAUUAAGUGAUUAACUGGUUGAAAUGGUCAUUUGACACAUUGAGAAAGAGUAUGCUGAAUCUAUUGACAAUGAGUCGGUGAUUAAAGAGUUUGAAGCUUCAUGUACUCGUAGAGUUAGAAAUAUAUGGUCAUCUAGCAUUGCUCUUAUUGACGAAUUGAGUCAGUGUCAAGUUAUAGAAUAGAUAAUUUAUGUCUGCUUGACAGGGUAUGAAUGUUGGAAGUUUUGGAAACCACAACAAACUGCUAAACUCCCCUAAAUUGAUCAGAAUGUCCGAAACUUAAGGGCAUAAAUGUUUCUCUGAUGGGUUCGAUUUCGGAUUUCCAAUUGAUCUUGAUGGUGUAAUUGCAAACAGUCAAAAACUCAAAAUGAUAUAAUUGAUGGGAAUGAGCUUAUGAGCUUACUGAUUAAGUGAUUAACUGGUUGAAAUGGUCAUUUGACACAUUGAGAAAGAGUAUGCUGAAUCUAUUGACAAUGAGUCGGUGAUUAAAGAGUUUGAAGCUUCUUGUACUCGUAGAGUUAGAUUUAGUUAGUUUAUGCUCUUGUAUUAUAUUGUAUUGCACAUUUAUUUUAUUGUUGAGUUUGUCAUUUAAUUUUGUAUAUGCAUUUGAGGGGUAAGACUCAUUUUGUCCCACCUGACUAGGUAUAUCUUUUUUUUCAAUUAAUAAAAUUCUCUCGCACCGUCGAGAUUCUCUA